rnacentral:rRNA from 1 species
CCUACGGGUGGCUGCAGUGAGGAAUAUUGGUCAAUGGACGAGAGUCUGAACCAGCCAAGUAGCGUGAAGGAUGACUGCCCUAUGGGUUGUAAACUUCUUUUAUAUGGGAAUAAAAUGUUCCACGUGUGGGAUUUUGUAUGUACCAUAUGACUAAGGAUCGGCUAACUCCGUGCCAGCAGCCGCGGUAAUACGGAGGAUCCGAGCUUUAUCCGGAUUUAUUGGGUUUAAAGUUAGCGUAGGUGGAUUGUUAAGUCAGUUGUUAAAGUUUGCGGCUCAACCGUAAAAUUGCAGUUGAAACUGGCAGUCUUGAGUACAGUAGAGGUGGGCGGAAUUCGUGGUGUAGCGGUGAAAUGCUUAGAUAUCACGAAGAACUACGAUUGCGAAGGCAGUUCACUGGACUGCAACUGACACUGAGGCUCGAAAGUGUGGGUAUCAAACAGGAUUAGAUACCCGAGUAGUC